UACGGGGGGGGCAAGCGUUGUUCGGAAUUACUGGGCGUAAAGGGCUCGUAGGCGGCCAACUAAGUCGGACGUGAAAUCCCCAGGCUCAACCUGGGAACUGCGUCCGAUACUGGAUGGCUUGAAUCCGGGAGAGGGAUGCGGAAUUCCAGGUGUAGCGGUGGAAUGCGCAGAUAUCAGGAGGAACACCGAUGGCGAAGGCAGCUCGCUGGGACGGUACUGACGCUGAGGCGCGAAAGCGUGGGGAGCGAACAGG
rnacentral:rRNA from 1 species